rnacentral:misc_RNA from 1 species
GCCGAAGGUGGGGCUGAUGACUGGGGUGAAGUCGUAACAAGGUAGCCGUACCGGAAGGUGCGGCUGGAUCACCUCCUAACAGGGAGACAACAACUGAUCAUGAUGUCUGAGUAUUUAAUCUUAGGCCUUGAUCCUGUCACCUUAGGUCGAUCGGUACCUCAAAUUACUGUCACUUAAACCAUCCAAAAUGGUUUUUUGACUUUCAUUUUAGUUCCUAAACUUGUCUAGGUCACACCCCGCAAGGGUUACUCCUGGGCCAUUAGCUCAGGUGGUUAGAGCGCACCCCUGAUAAGGGUGAGGUCCCUGGUUCAAGUCCAGGAUGGCCCAUUCGGUGUUGGGGGUUUAGCUCAGUUGGUAGAGCGCCUGCUUUGCAAGCAGGAUGUCAGCGGUUCGAGUCCGCUAACCUCCACUGACCGCCCCCCUUUUGAACCCAAAUGUGAGGGCUUUUGUGAGAUGUGAUUUAGAAAAUGUCGCUGAUUGAACCUAGCUUCUUAUCAUUCCAACUCCAAAAUUUCUAAAUUUAAUUUUUGGAUGAGGUUGACAAGAUGCUGGGCUCUUUGGGGUUCCUAGUGGAUUCCAAUUAUGUUCAGUAGAACCUUGACAACUGCAUAGGUAAGUCUAGAAAGAAUAAAGCAUCUCAUGGAUGCGUAGUUUUCGUUUUUUAAUGGAAACUAUGCUUAAUUCUUGAGCAAGAGCUGAGACUCUAUUACAAUCUUUUGAUGAAAAAUAUCAUCAAGAGUUAGAUCAAUAAUUCUGUUUUGAAUUAUUGAGAAUGCGUAUUCAACUACGUGAAUUGUAUAGAGGUUAAUUUGGUCAAGCUACAAAG